rnacentral:rRNA from 1 species
AGUGAACGCUGGCGGUAGGCCUAACACAUGCAAGUCGAACGGCAGCAUAGUAAGAGAUUGCCCUUACGGGUGGCGAGUGGCGGACGGGUGAGGAAUACAUCGGAAUCUACUUUUUCGUGGGGGAUAUCGUAGGGCAACUUACGCUAAUACCGCAUACGACCUACGGGUUAAAGCAGGGGAUCUUCGGACCUUGCGCGACUGAAUGAGCCGAUGUCGGAUUAGCUAGUUGGCGGGGUAAAGGCCCACCAAGGCGACGAUCCGUAGCUGGGCUGAGAGGAUGAUCGGCCACACUGGAACUGAGACACGGUCCAGACUCCUACGGGAGGCAGCAGUGGGGAAUAUUGGACAAUGGGCGCAAGCCUGAUCCAGCCAUGCCGCGUGGGUGAAGAAGGCCUUCGGGUUGUAAAGCCCUUUUGUUGGGAAAGAAAAGCAGCAGGUUAAUACCCCGCUGUUCUGACGGUACCCAAAGAGUAAGCACCGGCUAACUUCGUG